GAUUAUGGUAGGAUGAGAGGUGUUUGUUGGCAUCAGUAGUUUUGUUCCUGAUUCGAGCCAUGGUAUCGUGUUUAGUGGGACUUUAAAGCAUUGAGAUUCUAUUUGUACCCAUUGUUUUGGGUAUUGUGGGAGAGACCAAUCGUGAAUUUAUGUGAGUAUGGUUGCCUUAUGAUAUAUUUCUAUGUCCGGCACUCCCAAGCCUCCUUGUGUUUUGUGUCUAGUCAGAUAUCUGAAUUGGAUCCUAGGGUGUUUUCCUGUCCAUAGAUAUCUCAUAAUGAGGUGUUUUGUUUGCAAAA